rnacentral:misc_RNA from 1 species
GAGGUGGAUACGUCCGUGAAAAGUCGUAAAAUGAAAGGCGUCCGCUAAACAUAGUGAAAAUUUUCCCUUUUGCAAUAUAACUGGGUCCAGUUUUCUUUUCUGCUUCUUAUGUAAAGUGUGAGUGCCCUACGCGAAAAAAGUGAUAAAAAUUCACUAAAUCGCGACUUUUUUAAUAAUGUGUGACGGAAUUUGAUAAGAACAAUCGUUUAGUAAUUAAAUGUGAUGUGUUUUUGCUAUGGAAAUAGUACUAAUUGUGAGAAAAUCGGAGAAACGUGUUACAGUAGGUGGUGUGAAAAAAUGCUGACGAUCGUUCAUUCAGUAGGAUCUAUCCAUAUCAUCUAAACUAAGAACAAUCAUGGCUGAACAACAAAGACAGUCACUGUGCCCUCGUCUUAUCGACUAUUUGGCGAUAGUUGGAGCACGAACGAGUCCCGUGCAACGCGGAGCUAGUGGAAAUGUUAACCAUCCUGUUCAAGUCCCGGAGUUACUUCGCCGAUAUCCACCUUCAGAUCAUAAGGACUUUCCCUUACCUUUGGAUAUGGCAUACUUUUGUCAACCAGAAGGAUGCAUCAGCGUGGGGCCUCGUCGAACAGGCUCAGCAGUUCGUGAUGCAACUUCAUUUGUCUUUGCUCUAACUGAUAAGGAUUCGGGGAAAACUCGAUUCGGGAUUUGUGUGAAUUUCUAUCGUCCCAUUGAGAAACAUGUGCCUGGUGCAAGUGGUGCGCCUCCUGGCGCUAGAGGACGUCGCAGCUCGGCCUUCCGGCGAGAAUCGUGGAGAAAGAGCAUGGAACGUAGUUCUGACUCUGCAUUUAGCAGUUUUGGUGUCCUCAAUAGCUAUGGCAUUUUAACUUCUUCCAGCGACUACAGAAGUAAUAUAGCGCCCAGCGAUUCGGAUCGUGACUGUCCGAGUCGUCGUGAUUCCGAUCCGCCAGGACACUAUCAUCAACAGGGGCAACAAAUGCAACAGCAGCAAGGACAACAAUCCCAAUAUCAACUGCAGCAGCCACCCCGAUUGGGAGUGACAGCACCAAGUGCUGACUCUGAGUCGGGUGGUAGCCAUUCGCCUUCGCCACGUGCCAGAAAAAGGACAAAAAUACGAAAUCAAUCUUUAACGUCUCUUUGUAUAGUUUCUCAUCAUCCCUUCUUCACGACAUUUCGUGAAUGUCUAUUUAUUUUGAAAAAAUUGAUUGAUGCUUGCAAUGAAUCGUCCAGUCCAAGACGUGUGGGUGCUUCAAAGCAAAUAGGAAGGGACAACGUUUGGACUGUGCUUGCAGGACAUGUGACAGAAUCGACCCCGUCAAUAGUAUUACAUGACGUUAAAGAAAUUGAAACUUGGAUUUUACGCUUAUUAUCCGCUCCAGUUCCUGUGCCUGGCUCAACAAGAGUCGAAUUAGAAAUCCUUUCACCGUCGGUCCAUGAACCAUUACUGUUCGCGCUGCCGGAUCAUACGAGAUUUUCUUUAGUUGAUUUCCCAUUACAUUUACCUUUAGAGUUAUUAGGAGUGGAUACAUGCCUUAAAGUUCUUACAUUAAUUCUACUAGAGAAUAAAGUUCUUUUUCAAUCACGUGAUUACAAUGCGUUAUCAAUGUCGGUAAUGGCUUUUGUGACAAUGAUCUAUCCACUGGAGUAUAUGUUCCCAGUUAUUCCAUUGCUACCAACAUGCAUGAACUGUGCUGAACAAUUGCUCCUGGCACCAACACCCUUUGUUAUUGGUGCUCCAGCAUCCUUUCUGAUGUACAAGAAAAAUUUCAGGUUGCCAGAUGAUAUUUGGUUGGUAGAUUUGGAUUCGAGUAAAUUAACAGCACCAAGUGGAGGUGCUGAGGAGAUUCCUGUAUUGCCUGAGCCCGAAGGAACCAUCCUAAAAAAUCAUUUGAAGCAGGCUCUCAGUUCGAUGUCAGCAAGUAACACAGCUGCUUCACAACAACAACUCAUGCCGUCUAUAAGGGAUAGCCUUCAGCAACCUCCUGUGCUCAACGUGUCAUCAUCGAAGCUUCCGCUUCAGGAUCCACACUCGCCACACAGCCAACGGAACUCGUUUUCAAUGCAGGGUGUUAACCUAUCCCGGCAGCCCAGUCCGGUUGCUCCACCUCCUGUUAAUCCGUUCAUCUAUGGAAGUGAUAUUGACUCAGUUGAUGUUGCGACACGAGUUGCAAUGGUCCGUUUCUUCAACUCACAAAAUACACUAGCGAAUUUCACCGAACACACACGAACUCUUAGACUAUAUCCUAGACCUGUAGUUGCUUUUCAAAUCAACAGUUUCCUAAGAUCACGUCCACGUGCCUCCAACUUUCUAAAUAAAUUUGCCCGAACUCAAGCUGUUGAGUUCUUAGCGGAAUGGUCUUUGACGCCGACAAAUGUUGCCUUUUUGAGAAUACAAACUGGCGUUUUAGAUCCAAUACAAAUAGGGGAUAAAUCCAAAUGGUUUGCCCAUACCUUGACACCAAUACGAUUUUCUGUGUGGGAUGAUGGCAGCUCAAUGAAUGGUGCAUUGCGCCUGCUGCAACAAAUGGAUCGACAGGCUACAGAUGAAAGUGGCUCGGAUUCAGAAGGUGGUGAAAGCACUAGUUCGUCGUAUUCAUCCUUGAGUGAUUUUGUUUCGGAAAUGGUAUCAUCCGACCUAUCGCCCUCAAUACAUGACGUGUUUGGAGCGCACUACCAUCAUAAUGUUCCGCAGACAAUGUCCUCAAAUUUGGAUCCGAAGUUAGUCUAUCAUCCACCAACCAAUUUACAAUUCCCAGAAGGAGUAGUACCGUCUUCCAAAGAAGAAGUGGAACGAGCCGAUUCGCCACAGUCCACUUCUUCAAGCCGUUCAGAUUUAAGUUCUCCUAGUUUCAAUCGUGAUUCUGAAUUCGAAUAUCCACCAAAAGAUAAACUUGCACAUCCGCAAGCAACUCAUGCAGAAAAGGACAUCAGUCGUGACACUAUUGGCGCGACGAUACCAGCUCCAACGACAGCAAGUAGUUUUGAAAACGAGUCUGAUUCCAAUUCAACGACAACUGCAAAAACCGUGGUUUCUGGUCAAACCUCCGCCGAGGCGAAAGGAAAAACCACGGGUCCGCCUCUGAGUCCAGGAUUAGUUCGCCAGCCAAGCGUUGGAAACGUAUUAGCCCGAACAACUAGUUCAGGUUCAAGCACAGGAAGUCCUACCAUUCAACAUUCCGGGUCUGGUACGCAGCGGCAAGGAUCGCAGAGUUCACUCUUUGAACAUUUUGCAUCACAUGCCAAGGAACUUGUUCGCGAAACUACUCGCCAAAGCAGUCAGGAUGGGCUUUUGGCUCAGGUUGACAAGAUAAAAGAUCAAACAGUUGGGAAAAUUGUUGAAGAAGAGGGAAAAUUCAUAGCGCCUUUUGAACAGCUCACAUUACAUGCCAAGAAGGCUGCAGAGGAAGCAUCAAAACAGGCUUUGGAAGUUUCGAAACAGGCAGCUGGUGUCAGUAAAAAUACUCUUGAAGACCUCACGUAUGUAGGGAAAUCGACAUUAGGCGAUCUAAGUAGUAAAGCCAAAGAAGCAGCCACUAAGAAAGGUCUGAUGAAGCAUGGCGAUCACCAGUAUCCAGCUGCUCCAGCAACAACAUUAGUAUCUCAGAAGCAGAGUGGCAUCAUUCAAGGCACUGGAAGAGAUUUUUUUUCGUCCAUUGGCACUGAUUUGAAUGGAAUCGCGUCAUCUACAUCAACCAUGUUCUCAGAUCUGUUUGGAGGAAAAAAUAAACAACAAAGAACACAGCAACCAGUUGGCAAUGCUCCCAAACAACAAGGAAAAACUGGUCUUUCGUUUGAUCCUUUCCCAGGGCGUAAAGGAUUGGUUGAACGUACUCCAUUGAUUAAGCACACAGGACCGAAGCAGACUCAGGAAGAGAUUCAAAGGCAGCAGAAUCAGGAACGAUCGCACAGUAAUUCGGAAAAUCAAGCUUUCUUGAAGGACCUUAUUAAUCAAGUGCUAGCCGGGGAAGGUGUUGGUUGGCUCAAGUUGAACAGGCUUAGGAAACUCAUGGAAGAUGAAUCGUAUAGGAUGUUAGUUCUUGGCAAAUUAAAUAAAACUUUGGACAAAAAGAUUGCUCCGGAUGAUCAUAUAGACGAUGUUUGCAUUCCCAAACCCGUAUGGAAAGGAAUCCUGAAAUGUCUGCAGGCCACCGCGUCCGGUCUUGAUCAUACCUACUCAAAUUUUGGCUUAGGUGGGAUGGCGUCUGUUUUUCAAAUGAUGGAAAUUGCUCACACUCAUUUUUGGAGUCGCGAAAUGAUGGAAUCUACCGACAUGUCAGCCAGCCUUUUAUCAAGUCAAACUGCUAGUCCAACUGGGAGUCGAGAAAACUUACGAUCACCGCAAAGCCCGAAUGAAGUAAUGACGACAAGUUGCGUCGACUGGGGUUCAGCUGGUCAUCAUGGUACCUCUACAAAUUUACGUAAAGGAUCGUUGAGUGUGGAAAAGUCGGCAGUACAAAGAAGGUCAUCGGCAACUGCUGAAACACAUGAUACACAACAAUCGACAACUGAAAUGUUUAAGGAUAUGUUAACGCAGAAACGAAACAUGUUACUGAGCAAGCUGACAUCCUUUGAUUCUGAAGGAACUGUGCAUGGUUCAUCUGGUGCUCUAUCAGUCGCUAGUGAUGUUCCACCAGCACAUCACAGCGGUCCUCUCAUACCGUCGAUAAGUUGUCGAUCUACAGUUUCUGAUACGGAAUAUGAAAACCUGAAUACUAAAGAUACAAAGGCUCGAAGUGGAAGUUUGUGGUCUGGGAAAUCAGCUUUGAGUGCAGGUUUCCGAUACACUGGUGGACAUCUUAUUACCACGUCAACUUCACCUUCACCAGAUUCGCCUAGAGUGUACCUGUUUGAAGGUCUUCUGGGUAAGGAUCGUUUAAUGUUGUGGGAUCAAAUGCAGUUUUGGGAAGAUGCUUUCUUGGACGCUGUAAGCCAGGAGCGAGAUAUGAUAGGAAUGGAUCAAGGUCCUGGUGAAAUGAUGGAGCGGUACAAAUCCUUGAGUGACUCAGAACGAAAACGCUUAGAGCAUGACGAAGAUAGACUUCUUUCAACAAUGCUGUUCAACCUAACAGCUAUUUUGGUGAUGUUGAAUGUUAAUAAGGAAGAAAUUAAACGCAAAGUACGAAGACUGCUAGGCAAAAGCCACAUAGGUUUAGUUUAUUCUCAGGAAGUACAUCAUUUAGUUGACCAAAUACAUAAUUUGAAUGGUAACGAUAUUGACCUGAAACCCCUUGGAUCACGCCUUCUCCAUAGGCAAAGUUUCAGCGUUCACCAAGGGGUUGACGGAACUAGUCCAUUGCGAUUCCUUGAAGUGCGUGAUGAUGGUUUGGUUUUGCGAUCAGUGAAUGGAACAAUAGUUGAACGUUGGUGGUUCGAACGCUUAGUUAAUAUGACAUACUCACCAAAAACAAAAGUUUUGUGCUUGUGGCGGAAAAAUGGUGGUCAGACUCAACUACAUAAAUAUUACACAAGAAAGUGCAAAGAAUUGUAUAAUUGUAUAAAAGAGGCUAUGGAACGUAGUGGUAUGCCUGCGAAUGUACCUGAAUUAGGAGGAGAAUUUCCAGUUCAAGACAUGAACACCGGUGAAGGUGGCUUACUUCAAGUUUGUCUCGAAGGAGUUGGUUUGUUGUUUGCCAAUAGCAAGGACUUUGAGUUUUUCGUUCGGUUGGAUCAUAUACGGAAAUGUUUCACGCAGAAAGGAGGGAUUUUCGUGUUGGAAGAAUACAAUCCGAAGACGAGGCAGCUAAUUCAACGAAAAUAUAAAUCAACAAUGGCGCCUGAAGCUGUAUUAUGUCUUCAUAGAUUGUUUUCUAUUCGUUUGGCACAAAAGUUAAUGGACGAUAAAGACAAACCGAUACCGAACGAAAAUGUCACACCACAACAAAAAUGUGAUAAUUUAGAUACAACCACAUUAGAUAAAACCUAAAAACCAAUAAGCAGUUAAAAAAUGACUAGCAACCUUAUAUCACUGUUUGAUUUGUAUAUAAAUAACUUGUAAACCGAUAAAAAUUGUUUAUAAACCAAUACAGAACUUAUAGACAAUGUAAGAGAAUAAUAAAUCUAAACAGUUUGCAUGAUGUAGUAAUGUGCCACUUCCGGUCACCCUUUCAUACUCUUCUUUCCUGUCUUCUCAGCUUUAUUUGUUGUUGUUACUGAAAAGUUGAAAAAAAGCAAGUAAUUUACGUAAAUGCGGAUCAGAUAUGUUAUUCUGUGUUAUGCGUAUUCUCCUAUGUUGCGGCUGGGCAAGAUAAGAAAGGUGCCCAUGGAGCAGCGAGCCAUCACACGUCGCAUAGCCAGAAGACAAACAUGCCAUC